GUAGCUCAGUGGUAGAGCUAUCGGCUGUUAACCGAUCGGUCCAUGGUAAGGAAGAGGUCAGCGGUUCGAGCCCGCUUGGAA
rnacentral:tRNA from 1 species